rnacentral:rRNA from 1 species
GACGAACGCUGGCGGCGUGCCUAAUACAUGCAAGUAGAACGCAGUUGCGAACGGGUGAUUAACGCGUAGGUAACUGCCUGGUAGCGGGGGAUAACUAUUGGAAACGAUAGCUAAUACCGCAUACUACCAGAUGGACCUGCGUUUUAUUAGGUAGUUGGUGAGGUAACGGCUCACCAAGGCAACGAUACAUAUCCGAGCUGGGAGGGUGAUCGGGCAAAAUGGGAAUGGGAAAAGGCCCAGACUCCUAAGGGAGGCAGCAGUAGGGAAACUUCGGCAAUGGGGGGAACCCUGAACGAGGAACGCCGCGGGAGUGAAGAAGGUUUGCGGAUCGUAAAGCUCUGUUGUGAAGGAAGCGGUACUUAACCAGAAAGGGACGGCUAACUACGUGCCAGCAGCCGCGGUAAUAC